CACGUAGGGCGCGAGCGUUGUCCGGAAUUAUUGGGCGUAAAGAGCUCGUAGGCGGCCUGUUGCGUCCGCUGUGAAAGCCCGGGGCUUAACCCCGGGUCGGCAGUGGAUACGGGCAGGCUAGAGUUCGGUAGGGGAGACUGGAAUUCCCGGUGUAGCGGUGAAAUGCGCAGAUGUCGGGAGGAACACCGGUGGCGAAGGCGGGUCUCUGGGCCGAAACUGACGCUGAGGAGCGAAAGCGUGGGGAGCAAACAGG
rnacentral:rRNA from 1 species